AGCAAGUCGAAAUCGACAGAUUCCACACGACUCAUAAUCGUGAGGUCGCGGGUUCAAGCCCCGCUCCUGCUA
rnacentral:tRNA from 1 species